rnacentral:rRNA from 1 species
ACGAACGCUGGCGGCGUGCUUAACACAUGCCAGUCGAACGGAAAGGCCCUGCUUUUGUGGGGUGCUCGAGUGGCGAACGGGUGAGUAACACGUGAGUAACCUGCCCUUGACUUUGGGAUAACUUCAGGAAACUGGGGCUAAUACCGGAUAGGAGCUCCUGCUGCAUGGUGGGGGUUGGAAAGUUUCGGCGGUUGGGGAUGGACUCGCGGCUUAUCAGCUCGUUGGUGGGGUAGUGGCUUACCAAGGCUUUGACGGGUAGCCGGCCUGAGAGGGUGACCGGCCACAUUGGGACUGAGAUACGGCCCAGACUCCUACGGGAGGCAGCAGUGGGGAAUAUUGCACAAUGGGCGGAAGCCUGAUGCAGCAACGCCGCGUGCGGGAUGACGGCCUUCGGGGUGUAAACCGCUUUCGCCUGUGACGAAGCGUGAGUGACGGUAAUGGGUAAAGAAGCACCGGCUAACUACGUG